rnacentral:lncRNA from 1 species
UGCGGCAGCGGGCUGCGGUGCCGGAGCACCGACCCUGCGGCGCCGGCGACCAAGGCCCAGGUCGCCAUCUCCGAGGGCUUCUACCACUACGGCAUCACGUUGGACAAGGGGUUCAACCUGCCCAUGGAUCUCACGUGCAGCUCCGGCGACGCGCUCCGGUGCCGGGAGGACGGGUGCCACGACGCGUUCCCGUACGUGAAGUACAACGACCACUCAUGCACCGCCGCCGGCAGCCGGCUCCAGAUCGUCUUCUGCCCAUGAUGAGCUAGCUAGCGGCAGAACGUAAACAUAUAACCUACACAUAUACUACGUGUAGUAGUACAUACUUAGACGUGUCAUGUAUUCUCAGCGGUACGUACGUACACGUAUGAACGCACGUGCCAGUUUCCAAGAAAAUUGCCAUGUGUGAUGUGCCUUUGAUAUAUUGUUCUUUUUUAUCGAAUGCCUUUGAUAUAUUGUUCUUUUUUAUCGAAUGCCUUUGAUAUAUUCUUUACGGGAAUUUACACACAAAAGAACGUGAAUUUAAACAAGAUAGCCUACAAAUAUGUAUGUUUUUCCACACACAAAAAAUAUAUGGAUGUUCUAACAUUGGGACUCAGCUUGAUUUUUUUUUUCGAGGGGUGGGACUCAGGUUGAUGGUCAGGGUCUCAAAUGGCAUGGCCAUGAUUUUUAGAGAGGUUGAGCCAGGAUAUGUGAUUGGGGCAUGAUACCAGCUUUUUUUUCCAACCGGGCUCACAAACCCUUUCCAUUAAUUUUGCAAUCAACGGAAAUACAUCAGUCUGAUUUCAAGUUCUGUAUCGAGCAUCCACUUGCUAAAGAUAACUAGACUGAAAGAUAGAACUAACCGCAAGCAAAAUGAGACUGAAAGAGGAGAGCAGGUUGGUGCAUCAUCAGGAAACCCAUCGCCGGACAAUCCUGGAACGGACCAUCCGCCGUGGCGCGAAAACCUGAUGACACUUACAAGCAACUGCCCAACGAAAAUACCCAAGGUUCCCAGGAUGAAACUGCCAGUAAGCCUCUACGACUAGGCGAACCACAACCAGGAAGCACAAUUGCCAGCUGGCAUCAAAACCCAGUGGACAACAGAACGCAAAAGGAAAGAUCCAAGCGCCGAUUUCAUCUAACCAAUCUGGAUCCCAUCUCUGUCUCCCAAGAGAAGUCUGCCACGAGGGAAGGACCUGUCCGCCAGCGCAGCAGCCGCGUGAGCUAACCUCUUCACUCCAGCUUGGAACUUCACCUUCUCAUCCUCCUUAAGCAGACCUCACUAGUAGAAAAAGGGUCAAACGUGAAGCACAUUAGUGCCGGUUUGUAUUUGAGCCGGUACUAAUGGUACCAUUAGUGCCGGUUCGAACGGAUUUGCAUUAAUGCCGGUUCGUGUUGAACCUUUAGUACCGGUUCGUGGCACGAACCGGUACUAAAGGGGUGGUGGCAGGCUGGCGUCAGGCCGGGGCCCCACGAUCACCUUUAGUACCGGUUCGUGGUACGAACCGGUACUAAAGGUCUAACCUUUAGUACCGGUUCAUGCCAUGAACCGGCACUAAAGGGGUCUGACCUAUAGUACCGGUUGGAGACACAAACCGGCAUUAUAGGGCAAUUUUCAAACUUGAAAAAAUCAUAACUAAAUCAUCGUAAUUCAGAAAAAUACAUAUAAUAUAUCAAAAUAUGCAGACUUUUAAGGAAGAAAUUAGGAAGGCUAUACAGGGAAAAUGCGUGAAGGUUCUCGCAGAGUGUGUUCCUUUAAUCUCACCAACCAGUUAGCUUAGGAUGUGCGAAUCAACAUGUGGUUGGACGGUUAGAGGGACAGUAGUAUCCACAGCCCAUCAGGGUUUAAGUCCUGGUGCUCACAUUAUUUCUGGAUUUAUUUUAGGAUUUCUGGCGUUGUGCUUUCAGCAGGAGGAGACGUUCCUGUCGACAACGAGGCGCCUACGGUGACUUUGUAAAUGUCAAGAUGAUAUACUGGCUAGGUCUCUCGUAGGUGCUCAUAGGGGUAGGAAUGUGCAUGUGUGCAUUCAUAGGGGUGAGCGUAUGUGCGUAUGUUUGAGCACUUGCGUCUAUACUAUGCUAAAAAACAGAUAGCUCGGAAUGUGUGUUAUGCUAUAUGUAUAUAACCUAGUUUCCGCUAUAAAGGGCCCGUGCUUUGCAAUGUGAAAACCCGCGAAAGUUGACCUCGGUACCAAUUGGCAGGAUCUCACAGACCUGCGAGGGCCCCACUUGCCACCCUUCCUUCCCACCGACACGGAGCCUCCAAGUAUACUCUUCAUCCACAUGUUGUGUGGCUCAGACAUGGAAGAAAAUACACUGUAAUCGUGCAUGCUUGUUGUCCUGAAUGAAGAUACAUAAAUUUACAGAAUAUUUUUAAUACAGGUUGAAUUUUUUUGAAGUACACAUUGUCAAUUUUUUUAAUGCAUGACGAACAUAUUUCGAAAACACGUUUGCAGUUUUUUAAUACAUGUGAAACAUUUUUGGAAAACAUGUUUACAAUUUUAUAAUAUACAGGAGGUGCUCUCCGGUCUAGCUGAAGCUGAAGAGGUGCAAUUCGGUCUAACUUAGGACGAAGACAGGUCUUCGGUGUACUGUAGACUGAAGAGCUCCGAAGUCGGGCCGAAAAGAACUCUUCGGUCUACGCUUGGCCGAAGAGUGCACUUCGGUUUAAGCCAAGCCGAAGUGUCCUCUGACGCCCACCUCUUCGCGUGAACUGAAGACCGAAGUUGCAUGGAACCACACUUCGGUUUACACUUGGCUGAAGAGGACCUCUUGGGUUUAUACUAGGCUGAAGAGUGACCUUUUCCCGCCAGGCCUUUUCCGCCAUCUGUAAUGUAUCUUUCCCUCCAUUUGUUCACGCCAUUUUCUUUCCCUCCACUGUUUCCUUCCAUCCUCUUUCCCGCCCAAUUUUCCUGCCAACCCCUUACCCUCAUUCUUUAAAACCAGACCCCUUGCAUGUUGUUUUCUGCAUCUUUCCUUAGCAAUAUUUUCAGUCAUGUCCGACGAAAAUUCCGGUGGUUUUACUCCACUAAUGUCUCAUUUGCCCUUGUGCAAUGCAUCAAGAAUUCAUAGGCAUAGUAUGGGGUGUGUGUGAAUCAAAUAUACCCUAGAGGCAAUAAUAAAGUUAUUAUUUAUUUCCUUAUUUCAUGAUAAAUGUUUAUUAUUCAUGCUAGAAUUGUAUUAACCGGAAACAUAAUACAUGUGUGAAUACAUAGACAAACAAAGUGUCACUAGUAUGCCUCUACUUGACUAGCUCGUUGGUCAAAGAUGGUUAUGUUUCCUAACCAUCGACACGAGUUGUCAUUUGAUUAACGGGAUCACAUCAUUGGGAGAAUGAUGUGAUUGACUUGACCAAUUCCGUUAGCUUAGCACACGAUCGUUUAGUAUGUUGCUAUUGCUUUCUUCAUGACGUAUACAUGUUCCUAUGACUAUGAGAUUAUGCAACUCCCAUUUACCAGAGGAACACUUUGUGUGCUACCAAAUGUCACAACGUAACUGGGUGAUUAUAAAGAUGCUCUACAAGUGUCUCCGAAGGUACUUGUUGGGUUGGCGUAUUUCGAGAUUAGGAUUUGUCACUUCGAUUGUCGGAGAGGUAUCUUUGGGUCCUCUUGGUAAUGCACAUCACUUAAGCCUUGCAAGCAAUGCAACUAAUGAGUUAGUUGCGGGAUGACGUAUUACGAAACGAGUAAAGAGACUUGCCAGUAACGAGAUUGAACUAGGUAUUGAGAUACCGGCGAUCGAAUCUCGGGCAAGUAACAUACCGAUGACAAAGGGAACAACGUAUGUUGUUAUGCAGUCUGACCGAUAAAGAUCUUCGUAGAAUAUGUAGGAGCCAAUAUGAGCAUCCAGGUUCCGCUAUUGGUUAUUGACUGGAGACGUGUCUCGGUCAUGUCUACAUUGUUCUUGAACCCGUAGGGUCGGCACGCUUAAGGUUUCGAUGACAAUUAUAUUAUGAGUUUAUAAGUUUUGAUGUACCGAAGGAGUUCGGAGUCCCGGAUGAGAUCGAGGACAUAACGAGGAGUCUCGAAAUGGUCGAGACAUAAAGACCGAUAUAUUGGACGACCAUAUUCGGACAUCGGAAAGGUUCCGAGUGAUUCGGGUUUUUUUCGGACUACCGGAGAGUUACGGGAAUUCGCCGGGGAGUAUAUGGGCCUUAUUGGGCCACACGGGAAUAGAGGAGAGAGGCCAAAAGGAAGGAGGCCCCCCCUCUGGUCCUAAUUGGACAAGGGGUGCAACAACAACAUACAACUAUCUAGAUAAAGCAUUUAAAUGCAACAACAAAUGCGACCAAAAUUGCAACUAAGGUAAUUAUUGAUCCAAUAGCAUAAUGAUACCAAGCCUAUUUAUUAGCGGCAUAUUUUCUAAACUUUCUAAUCUUCAAGCGCAUUGCAUCCAUCUUGAUCUUUGGAUCAUCGACGACAACAGCAACAUACAAAUCCAAUUUCAUCUUCUCUUCUCAAUUCUUUUUAAUUUUUCUUUCAAAUACUCAUUUUCUUUUUCAACUAAAUUUAACUUCUCGACAAGAGGGUCGGUGGCAAUUUCUGGUUCACAUACCUCCUAGAUAAAAGUAUAUAUGUGAGCUUGAUGGGCAUAAUUGUCAUAAACACGAAAUGCAACAAAUAGUUAUAAAGAUAUUAUACCACAUCCGAAUCAUAAAUCGGACAAGGGCCAUCGGCGAAGGAUAUCAAAACCAUGGCACUACGUAUAACAAACAAUCAUACAAGUAAGAAAAUUAUACAAGCAACUAUCUAAAUGAUAGAAAUAAGAUUUCUUUGCACAAAAAGGAUAAGAACAAAAGCCUCACCAAGGAGGUGUCGGCGACGGGACGGCGUGGGCGAUCGAUGGCGGUGAGGACGGGAAGGCAGUAGUUAAACCACACCUACACAUAUGGAAACUAAGAAGUUAAUUUGAGCUCAAAUUACAUAUAAAUCAAAUAAACUCCCACAUAAUUACUCCCAAACAAAAACCCACAAAUGACUAUACUUAUACAGCAUGAAACAAGCUGAACUAGCAAUGAGAGAGGAAAGGACAAAGUUACUAACCUUUUAAACACUUGUAUAGAUGGGGUGCCUCAAAUCUUAACAAAUCUUGGCAGUUAGAUGACACCACUACACUACACACGGUAGGAGUUAUCUUGAACGAAACACAAGGGAAAAAAGUCGGACCCGACAAAGGUCGUCCAGGUAGGUAGCCAUCUUUGAAUUGAAUGAGUGUUCUCCAAAGUAGCUAGCUCGGUGAGAUGAUCAACAUCUUCAUCACGAACCCUAUAUAAACGCCAAGCUCCAUGAGCUCAGUCCCAGCACACACACACCCACAGUUCCACCUAAUAUAAUGGCCGGAAGCGCGAGCGCCACUCCAGUCCUCCUCGUCGUCGUGGUCGUGGCCCUCGCCGCGGGGGCCAGCACGACAUCGACGCUGACGCUGCUCAGCAUCACCAACCGGUGCUCCUUCACGGUGUGGCCGGCGGUGGCCUCCACAGGCCUCGGCACCGAGCUCCAUCCGGGAGCCAACUGGACCGUGGACGCGUCGGCGAUCCACUACACCGCGGACAUAUGGGGGCGCACGGGCUGCUCCUUCGACGUGGCAGGCAGGGGGCGGUGCCAGACGGCGGACUGCAGCAGCGGGCUGCGGUGCCGGAGCACCGACCCUGCGGCGCCGGCGACCAAGGCCCAGGUCGCCAUCUCCGAGGGCUUCUACCACUACGGCAUCAGGUUGGACAAGGGGUUCAACCUGCCCAUGGAUCUCACGUGCAGCUCCGGCGACGCGCUCCGGUGCCGGGAGGACGGGUGCCACGACGCGUUCCCAUACGUGAAGUACAACGACCACUCAUGCACCACCGCCGGCAGCCGGCUCCAGAUCGUCUUCUGCCCAUGAUGAGCUAGCUAGCUAGCGGCAGAACGUAAACAUAUAACCUACAAUAUACUACAUGUAGUAGUACAUACUCAGACGUGUCAUGUAUUCUCAGCGGUACGUACGUACACGUAUGAACACACGUGCGAGUUUCCAAUAAAAUUGCCAUGUGUGAUGUGCCUUUGAUAUAUUGUUCUUUUUUAUCGAAUGCUUUUGAUAUAUUGUUCUUUUUUAUUGAAUGCCUUUGAUAUAUUGUUUACGGGAAUUUACACACAAAAGAACGUGAAUUUGAACAAGAUAGCCUACAAAUAUGUAUGUUUUUCCACACACACAAAAUAUAUGUAUGUUCUAACAUUGGGACUUAGCUUGAAUAUUUUUUUUCGAGGGGUGGGACUCAGGUUGAUGGUCAGGGUCUCAAAUGGCAUGGCCACGAUUUUUAGAGAGGUUGAGCCAGGAUAUGUUAUUGGGGCAUGAUACCAGCUUUUUUUCCAACCGGGCUCACAACCCCUUUCCAUUAAUUUUGCAAUCAACGGAAAUACAUCAGUCUGGUUUCAAGUUCUGUAUCGAGCAUCCACUUGCUAAAGAUAACUAGACUGAAAGAUAGAACUAACCGCAAGCAAAAUGAGACUGAAAGAGGAGAGCAGGUUGGUGCAUCAUCAGGAAACCCAUCGUCGGACAAUCCUGGAACGGACCAUCCGCCGUGGCGCGAAAACCUGAUGACACUUACAAGCAACUGCCCAACCAAAAUACCCAAGGUUCCGAGGAUGAAACUGCCAGUAAGCCUCUACGACUAGGCGAAGCACAACCAGGAAGCACAAUUGCCAGCGGGCAUCAAACCCCAGUGGACAACAGAACGCAAAAGGAAAGAUCCAAGCGCCAAUUUCAUCUAACCAAUCUGGAUCCCAUCUCUGUCUCCCAAGAGAAGUCGCCACGAGGGAAGGACCUGUCCGCCAGCGCAGCAGCCGCGUGAGCUAACCUCUUCACUCCAGCUUGGAACUUCACCUUCUCAUCCUCCUUAAGCAGACCUCACUAGUAGAAAAAGGGUCAAACGUGAAGCACAUUAGUGCCGGUUUGUAUUUGAGCCGGUACUAAUGGUACCAUUAGUGCCGGUUCGAACGGAUUUGCAUUAAUGCCGGUUCGUGUUGAACCUUUAAUACCGGUUCGUGGCACGAACCGGUACUAAAGGGGUGGUGGCAGGCUGGCGUCAGGCCGGGGCCCCACGAUCACCUUUAGUACCGGUUCGUGGCACGAACCGGUACUAAAGGGGUCUGACCUAUAGUACCGGUUGGAGACACAAACCGGCACUAUAGGGCAAUUUUCAAACUUGAAAAAAUCAUAACUAAAUCAUCGUAAUUCAGUAAAAUACAUAUAAUAUAUCAAAAUAUGCAGACUUUUAAGGAAGAAAUUAGGAAGGCUAUACAGGGAAAAUGCGUGAAGGUUCUCGCAGAGUGUGUUCCUUUAAUCUCACCAACCAGUUAGCUUAGGAUGUGCGAAUCAAUCUGUGGUUGGACGGUUAGAGGGACAGUAGUAUCCACAGCCCAUCAGGGUUUAAGUCCUGGUUCUCACAUUAUUCCUGGAUUUAUUUUAGGAUUUCUGGCGUUGUGCUUUCAGCGGGAGGAGACGUUCCUGUCGACAACGAGGCGCCUACGGUGACUUUGUAAAUGUCAAGAUGAUAUACUGGCUAGGUCUCUCGUAGGUGCUCAUAGGGGUAGGAAUGUGCAUGUGUGCAUUCAUAGGGGUGAGCGUAUGUGCGUAUGUUUGAGCACUUGCGUCUAUACUAUGCUAAAAAAUAGAUAGCUCGGAAUGUGUGUUAUGCUAUAUGUAUAUAACCUAGUUUCCGCUGUAAAGGGCCCGUGCGUUGCAAUGUGAAAACCCGCGAAAGUUGACCUCGGUACCAAUUGGCAGGAUCUCACAGACCUGCGAGGGCCCCACUUGCCACCCUUCCUUCCCACCGACACGGAUCCUGCAAGUAUACUCUUCAUCCACGUGUUGUGUGGCUCAAACAUGGACGAAAAUACACAGUAAUCGUGCAUGCUUGUCGUCCUGAAUGAAGAUACAUAAAUUUACAGAAUAUUUUUAAUACAGGUUGAAUUUUUUUGAAGUACACGUUGUCAAUUUUUUGAAUGCAUGACGAACAUAUUUCGAAAACACGUUUGCAGUUUUUUAAUACAUGUGAAACAUUUUUGGAAAACAUGUUUACAAUUUUAUAAUAUACAGGAGGUGCUCUUCGGUCUAGCUGAAGCCGAAGAGGUGCUCUUCGGUCUAACUUAGGCCGAAGACAGGUCUUCGGUGUACUGUAGACUGAAGAGCUCCGAAGCCGGGCUGAAAAGAACUCUUCGGUCUACGCUUGGCCGAUGAGUGCACUUCGGUUUAAGCCAAGCCGAAGUGUCCUCUGAGGCCCACCUCUUCCCGUGAACUGCAGACCGAAGUUGCAUGGCACCACACUUCGGUUUACACUUGGCUGAAGAGGACCUCUUCGGUUUAUACUAGGCUGAAGAGUGACCUUUUCCCGCCAAGCCUUUUCCGCCAUCUGUAAUGUAUCUUUCCCUCCAUUCGUUCACGCCAUUUUCUUUCCCUCCACUGUUUCCUUCCAUCCUCUUUCCCGCCCAAUUUUCCUGCCAACCCCUUACCCUCAUUCUAUAAAACCAGACCCCUUGCCUGUUGUUUUCUGCAUCUUUCCUUACCAAUAUUUUCAGUCAUGUCCGACGACAAUUCCGGCGGUUUUACUCCACUAAUGUCUCAUUUUCCCUUGUGCAAUGCCUCAAGAAUGCAUAGGCCUAGUAUGGGGUGUGUGUGGAGGAAAUAUACCCUAGAGGCAAUAAUAAAGUUAUUAUUUAUUUCCUUAUUUCAUGAUAAAUGUUUAUUAUUCAUGCUAGAAUUGUAUUAACCGGAAACAUAAUACAUGUGUGAAUACAUAGACAAACAAAGUGUCACUAGUAUGCCUCUACUUGACUAGCUCGUUGGUCAAAGAUGGUUAUGUUUCCUAACCAUAGACACGAGUUGUCAUUUGAUUAACGGGAUCACAUCAUUAGGAGAAUGAUGUGAUUGACUUGACCCAUUCCGUUAGCUUAGCACACGAUCGUUUAGUAUGUUGCUAUUGCUUUCUUCAUGACUUAUACAUGUUCCUAUGACUAUGAGAUUAUGCAACUCACAUUUACCAGAGGAACACUUUGUGUGCUACCAAACGUCACAACGUAACUGGGUGAUUAUAAAGGUGCUCUGCAAGUGUCUCUGAAGUUACUUGUUGGGUUGGCGUAUUUCGAGAUUAGGAUUUGUCACUUCGAUUGUCGGAGAGGUAUCUCUGGGUCCUCUUGGUAAUGCACAUCACUUAAGCCUUGCAAGCAAUGCAACUAAUGAGUUAGUUGCGGGAUGAUGUAUUACGGAACGAGUAAAGAGACUUGCCAGUAACGAGAUUGAACUAGGUAUUGAGAUACCGACGAUCGAAUCUCGGGCAAGUAACAUAUCGAUGACAAAGGGAACAACGUAUGUUAUGCAGUCUGAUCGAUAAAGAUCUUCGUAGAAUAUGUAGGAGCCAAUAUGAGCAUCCAGGUUCCGCUAUUGGUUAUUGACUGGAGACAUGUCUCGGUCAUGUCUACAUUGUUCUCGAACCCGUAGGGUCCGCACGCUUAAGUUUUCGAUGACAGUUAUAUUAUGAGUUUAUAAGUUUUGAUGUACCGAAGGAGUUCGGAGUCCCGGAUGAGAUCGAGGACAUGACGAGGAGUCUCGAAAUGGUCGAGACAUAAAGAUCGAUAUAUUGGACGACCAUAUUCGGACAUCGGAAAGGUUCCGAGUGAUUCGGGUAUUUUUCGGCCUACCGAAGAGUUACGGGAAUUCGUCGGGGAGUAUAUGGGCCUUAUUGGGCCAUACGGGAAUAGAGGAGAGAGGCCAAAAGGAAGGAGGCCCCCCCUCUGGUCCGAAUUGGACAAGGGGUGCAACAACAACAUACAACUAUCUAGAUAAUGCAUUUAAAUGCAACAAUAAAUGUGAUCAAAAUUGCAACUAAGGUAAUAAUUGAUCCAAUAGCAUAAUGAUACCAAGCCUAUUUAUUAGCGGCAUAUUUUCUAAACUUUCUAAUCUUCAAGCGCAUUGCAUCCAUCUUGAUCUUUGGAUCAUCGACGACAACAGCAACAUACAAAUCCAAUUUCAUCUUCUCUUCUCAAUUCUUUUUAAUUUUUCUUUCAAAUACUCAUUUUCUUUUUCUACUAAAUUUAACUUCUCGACAAGAGGGUCGGUGGCAAUUUCUGGUUCACAUACCUCCUAGAUAAAAAUAUAUAUGUCAGCUUGAUGGGCAUAAUUGUCAUAAACACGAAAUGCAACAAAUAGUUAUAAAAGAUAUUAUACCACAUCCGAAUCAUAAAUCGGACAAGGGCCGUCGGCGAAGGAUAUCAAAACCAUGGCACUACGUAUAACAAACAAUCAUACAAGUAAGAAAAUUAUACAAGCAACUAUCUAAAUCAUAGAAAUAAGAUUUCUUUGCACAAAAAGGAUAAGAACAAGAGCCUCACCAAGGAGGUGUCGGCGACGGGACGGCGCGGGCGACCGAUGGCGGUGAGGACGGGAAGGCAGUAGUUAAACCACACCUACACAUAUGGAAACUAAGAAGUUAAUUUGAGCUCAAAUUACAUAUAAAUCAAAUAAACUCCCACAUAAUUACUCCCAAACCAAAACCCACAAAUGACUAUACUUAUACAGCAUGAAACAAGCUAAACUAGCAAUGAGAGAGGAAAGGACAAAGUUACUAACCUUUUAAACACUUAGAUAGAUGGGGUGCCUCAAAUCUUAACAAAUCUUGGCAGUUAGAUGACACCACUACACUACACACGGUAGGAGUGAUCUUGAACGAAACACAAGGGAAAAAAGUCGGACCCGACAAAGGUCGUCCAGGUAGGUAGCCAUCUUUGAAUUGAAUGAGUGUUCUCCAAAGUAGCUAUCUCGGUGAGAUGAUCGACAUCUUCAUCACGAACCCUAUAUAAACGCCAAGCUCCAUGAGCUCAGUCCCAGCACACACACACCCAUAGUUCCACCUAAUAUAAUGGCCGGAAGCGCGAGCGCCACUCUGGUCCUCCUCGUCGUCGUGGUCGCGGCCCUCGCCGUGGGGGCCAGCGCGACAUCGACGCUGACGCCGCUCAGCAUCACCAACCGGUGCUCCUUCACGGUAUGGCCGGCGGUGGCCUCCGCAGGCCUCGGCACGGAGCUCCAUCCGGGAGCCAACUGGACCGUGGACGCGUCGGCGAUCCACUACACCGCGGACAUAUGGGGGCGCACGGGCUGCUCCUUCGACGCGGCAGGCAGGGGACGGUGCCAGACGGUGGACUGCGGCAGCGGGCUACGGUGCCGGAGCAACGACCCUGCGGCGCCGACGACCAAGGCCCAGGUCGCCAUCUCCGAGGGCUUCUACCACUACGGCAUCAUGUUGGACAAGGGGUUCAACCUGCCCAUGGAUCUCACGUGCAGCUCCGGCGACGCGCUCCGGUGCCGGGAGGACGGGUGCCACGACGCGUUCCCGUACGUGAAGUACAACGACCACUCAUGCACCGCCGCCGGCAGCCGGCUCCAAAUCAUCUUCUGCCCAUGAUGAGCUAGCUAGCGGCAGAAUGUAAACAUAUAACCUACACAUAUACUACGUGUAGUAGUACAUACUCAGACGUGUCAUGUAUUCUCAGCGGUACGUACGUACACGUAUGAACGCACGUGCGAGUUUCCAAUAAAAUUGCCAUGUGUGAUGUGCCUUUGAUAUAUUGUUCUUUUUUAUCGAAUGCCUUUGAUAUAUUGUUCUUUUUUAUUGAAUGCCUUUGAUAUAUUGUUUACGGGAAUUUACACACAAAAGAACGUGAAUUUGAACAAGAUAGCCUACAAAUAUGUAUGUUUUUCCACACACAAAAAAUAUAUGUAUGUUCUAACAUUGGGACUCAGCUUGAUUUUUUUUUCGAGGGGUGGGACUCAGGUUGAUGGUCAGGGUCUCAACUGGCAUGGCCACGAUUUUUAUAGAGAUUGAGCCAGGAUAUGUGAUUGGGGCAUGAUACCAGCUUUUUUUCCAACCGGGCUCACAACCCCUUUCCAUUAAUUUUGCAAUCAACGGAAAUACAUCAGUCUGGUUUCAAGUUCUAUAUCGAGCAUCCACUUGCUAAAGAUAACUAGACUGAAAGAUAGAACUGACCGCAAGCAAAAUGAGACUGAAAGAGGAGAGCAGGUUGGUGCAUCAUCAGGAAACCCAUCGUCGGACAAUCCUGGAACGGACCAUCCGUCGUGGCGCGAAAACCUGAUGACACUUACAAGCAACUGCCCAACCAAAAUACCCAAGGUUCCCAGGAUGAAAUUGCCAGUAAGCCUCUACGACUAGGCGAACCACAACCAGGAAGCACAAUUACCAGCGGGCAUCAAACCCCAGUGGACAACAGAACGCAAAAGGAAAGAUCCAAGCGCCGAUUUCAUCUAACCAAUCUGGAUCCCAUCUCUGUCUCCCAAGAGAAGUCUGCCACGAGGGAAGGACCUGUCCGCCAGCGCAGCAGCCGCGUGAGCUAACCUCUUCACUCCAUCUUGGAACUUCACCUUCUCAUCCUCCUUAAGCAGACCUCACUAGUAGAAAAAGGGUCAAACGUGAAGCACAUUAGUGCCGGUUUGUAUUUGAGCCGGUACUAAUGGUACCAUUAGUGCCGGUUCGAACGGAUUUGCAUUAAUGCCGGUUCGUGUUGAACCUUUAGUACCGGUUCGUGGCACGAACUGGUACUAAAGGGGUGGUGGCAGGCUGGCGUCAGGCCGGGGCCCCACGAUCACCUUCAGUACGGGUUCGUGGCACGAACCGGUACUAAAGGUCUAACCUUUAGUACCGGUUCGUGCCAUGAACCGGUACUAAAGGGGUCUGACCUAUAGUACCGGUUGGAGACACAAACCGGCACUAUAGGGCAAUUUUCAAACUUGAAAAAAUCAUAACUAAAUCAUCGUAAUUCAGAAAAAUACAUAUAAUAUAUCAAAAUAUGCAGACUUUUAAGAAAGAAAUUAGGAAGGCUAUACAGGGAAAAUGCGUGAAGGUUCUCGCAGAGUGUGUUCCUUUAAUCUCACCAACCAGUUAGCUUAGGAUGUGCGAAUCAACCUGUGGUUGGACGGUUAGAGGGACAAUAGUAUCCACAACCCAUCAUGGUUUAAGUCCUGGUGCUCACAUUAUUCCUGGAUUUAUUUUAGGAUUUCUGGCGUUGUGCUUUCAGCGGGAGGAGACGUUCCUGUCGACAACGAGGCGCCUACGGUAACUUUGUAAAUGUCAAGAUGAUAUACUGGCUAGGUCUCUCGUAGGUGCUCAUAGGGGUAGGAAUGUGCAUGUGUGCAUUCAUAGGGGUGAGCGUAUGUGCGUAUGUUUGAGCACUUGCGUCUAUACUAUGCUAAAAACAGAUAGCUCGGAAUGUGUGUUAUGCUAUAUGUAUAUAACCUAGUUUCCGCUGUAAAGGGCCCGUGCGUUGCAAUAUGAAAACCCGCGAAAGUUGACCUCGGUACCAAUUGGCAGGAUCUCACAGACCUGCGAGGGCCCCACUUGCCACCCUUCCUUCCCACCGACACGGAGCCUCCAAGUAUACUCUUCAUCCACGUGUUGUGUGGCUGAGACAUGGACAAAAAUACACAGUAAUCGUGCAUUCUUGUCGUCCUGAAUGAAGAUACAUAAAUUUACAGAAUAUUUUUAAUACAGGUUGAAUUUUUUUGAAGUACACGUUGUCAAUUUUUUGAAUGCAUGACGAACAUAUUUCGAAAACACGUUUGCAGUUUUUUAAUACAUGUGAAACAUUUUUGGAAAACAUGUUUACAAUUUUAUAAUAUACAGGAGGUGCUCUUCGGUCUAGCUGAAGCCGAAGAGGUGCUCUUCGAUCUAACUUAGGCCGAAGACAGGUCUUCGGUGUACUGUAGACUGAAGAGCUCCGAAGUCGGGCCAAAAAGAACUCUUCGGUCUACGCUUGGCUGAAGAAUGCACUUCGGUUUAAGCCAAGCCGAAGUGUCCUCUGAGGCCCACCUCUUCGCGUGAACUGCAGACCGAAGUUGCAUGGCAGCACACUUCGGUUUACACUUGGCUGAAGAGGACCUCUUUGGUUUAUACUAGGCUGAAGAGUGACCUUUUCCCGCCAAGCCUUUUCCGCCAUCUGUAAUGUAUCUUUCCCUCCAUUUGUUCACGCCAUUUUCUUUCCCUCCACUGUUUCCUUCCAUCCUCUUUCCUGCCCAGUUUUCCUGCCAACCCCUUACCGUCAUUCUAUAAAACCAGACCUCUUGCCUGUUGUUUUCUGAAUCUUUCCUUAGCAAUAUUUUCAGUCAUGUCCGACGACAAUUCCGGCGGUUUUACUCCACUAAUGUCUCAUUUGCCCUUGUGCAAUGCCUCAAGAAUGCAUAGGCCUAGUAUGGGGGGUGUGUGAAGGAAAUAUACCCUAGAGGCAAUAAUAAAGUUAUUAUUUAUUUCCUUAUUUCAUGAUUAAUAUUUAUUAUUCAUGCUAGAAUUGUAUUAACCGGAAACAUAAUACAUGUGUGAAUACAUAGACAAACAAAGUGUCACCAGUAUGCCUCUACUUGACUAGCUCGUUGGUCAAAGAUGGUUAUGUUUCCUAACCAUAGACACGAGUUGUCAUUUGAUUAACGGGAUCACAUCAUUAGGAGAAUGAUGUGAUUGACUUGACCCAUUCCGUUAGCUUAGCACACGAUCGUUUAGUAUGUUGCUAUUGCUUUCUUCAUGAAUUAUACAUGUUCCUAUGACUAUGAGAUUAUGCAACUCCCAUUUACUAGAGGAACACUUUGUGUUCUACCAAACGUCACAACGUAACUGGGUGAUUAUAAAGGUGCUCUACAAGUGUCUCUGAAGGUACUUGUUGGGUUGGCGUAUUUCGAGAUUAGGAUUUGUCACUUCGAUUGUCGGAGAGGUAUCUCUGGGUCCUCUUGAUAAUGCACAUCACUUAAGCCUUGCAAGCAAUGCAACUAAUGAGUUAGUUGCGGGAUGAUGUAUUACGGAACGAGUAAAGAGACUUGCCAGUAACGAGAUUGAACUAGGUAUUGAGAUACCGACGAUCGAAUCUCGGGCAAGUAACAUACCGAUGACAAAGGGAACAACGUAUGUUGUUAUGCUGUCUGACCGAUAAAGAUCUUCGUAGAAUAUGUAGGAGCCAAUAUGAGCAUCCAGGUUCCGCUAUUGGUUAUUGACUGGAGACGUGUCUCGGUCAUGUCUACAUUGUUCUCGAACCCGUAGGGUCCGCACGCUUAAGGUUUCGAUGACAGUUAUAUUAUGAGUUUAUAAGUUUUGAUGUACCGAAGGAGUUCGGAGUCCCGGAUGAGAUCGAGGACAUGACGAGGAGUCUCGAAAUGGUCGAGACAUAAAGAUCGAUAUAUUGGACAACCAUAUUCGGACAUCGUAAAGGUUCCGCGUGAUUCGGGUAUUUUUCGGACUACCGGAGAGUUACGGGAAUUCGCCGGGGACUAUAUGGGCCUUAUUGGGCCAUACGGGAAUAGAGGAGAGAGGCCAAAAGGAAGGAGGCCCCCCUCUGGUCUGAAUUGGACAAGGGGUGCAACAACAACAUACAACUAUCUAGAUAAAGCAUUUAAAUGCAACAACAAAUGCGAUCAAAAUUGCAACUAAGGUAAUAAUUGAUCCAAUAGCAUAAUGAUACCAAGCCUAUUUAUUUGCGGCAUAUUUUCUAAACUUUCUAAUCUUCAAGCGCAUUGCAUCCAUCUUGAUCUUUGGAUCAUCGACGACAACAGCAACAUACAAAUCCAAUUUCAUCUUCUCUUUUCAAUUCUUUUUAAUUUUUCAUUCAAAUACUCAUUUUCUUUUUCAACUAAAUUUAACUUCUCGACAAGAGGGUCGGUGGCAAUUUCUGAUUCACAUACCUCCUAAAUAAAAAUAUAUAUGUUAGCUUGAUGGGCAUAAUUGUCAUAAACACAAAAUGCAACAAAUAGUUAUAAAAGAUAUUAUACCACAUCCGAAUCAUAAAUCAGACAAGGGCCGUCGGCGAAGGAUAUCAAAACCAUGGCACUACGUAUAACAAACAAUCAUACAAGUAAGAAAAUUAUACAAGCUACUAUCUAAAUCAUAGAAAUAAGAUUUCUUUGCACAAAAAGGAUAAGAACAAGAGCCUCACCAAGGAGGUGUCGGCGACGGGACGGCGCGGGCGAUCGAUGAUGGUGAGGACGGGAAGGCAGUAGUUAAACCACACCUACACAUAUGGAAACUAAGAAGUUAAUUUGAGCUCAAAUUACAUAUAAAUCAAAUAAACUCCCACAUAAUUACUCCCAAACCAAAACCCACAAAUGACUAUACUUAUACAGCAAGAAACAAGCUAAACUAGCAAUGAGAGAGGAAAGGACAAAGUUACUAACCUUUUAAACACUUGGAUAGAUGGGGUGCCUCAAAUCUUAACAAAUCUUGGCAGUUAGAUGACACCACUACACUACACACGGUAGGAGUUAUCUUGAACGAAACACAAGGGAAAAAAGUCGGACCCGACAAAGGUCGUCCAGGUAGGUAGCCAUCUUUGAAUUGAAUGAGUGUUCUCCAAAGUAGCUAGCUCGGUGAGAUGAUCGACAUCUUCAUCACGAACCCUAUACAAACGCCAAGCUCCAUGAGCUCAGUCCCAGCACACACACACACCCACAGUUCCACCUAAUAUAAUGGCCGGAAGCGCGAGCGCCACUCCGGUCCUCCUCGUCGUCGUGCUCGCGACCCUCGUCGCGGGGGCCAGCACGACAUCGACGCUGACGCCGCUCAGCAUCACCAACCGGUGCUCCUUCACGGUGUGGCCGGCGGUGGCCUCCGCAGGCCUCGGCACCGAGCUCCAUCCGGGAGCCGACUGGACCGUGGACGCGUCGGUGAUCCACUACACCGCGGACAUAUGGGGGCGCACGGGGUGCUCCUUCGACGCGGCAGGCAGGGGGCGGUGCCAGACGGCGGACUGCGGCAGCGGGCUGCGGUGCCGGAGCACCGACCUUGCGGCACCGGCGACCAAGGCCCAGGUCGCCAUCUCCGAGGGCUUCUACCACUACGGCAUCACGUUGGACAAGGAGUUCAACCUGCCCAUGGAUCUCACGUGCAGCUCCGGCGACGCGCUCCGGUGCCGGGAGGACGGGCGCCACGAUGCGUUCCCGUACGUGAAGUACAACGACCACUCGUGCACCGCCGUCGGCAGCCGGCUCCAGACCGUCUUCUGCCCAUGAUGAGCUAGCUAGCGGCAGAAUGUAAACAUAUAACCUACACAUAUACUACGUGUAGUAGUACAUACUCAGACGUGUCAUGUAUUCUCAGCGGUACGUACGUACACAUAUGAACGCACGUGCGAGUUUCCAAUAAAAUUGCCAUGUGUGAUGUGCCUUUGAUAUAUUGUUCUUUUUUAUCGAAUGCUUUUGAUAUAUUGUUCUUUUUUAUUGAAUGC